UUAUGCCCCCCUUCGAAGAAGAGGGGGUAUAUUGCUUUGCACAUGUCGGUCGGUCGGUCUGUCGGUCGGUCCGUCCACCAGGUGGUUUCCGGAUGAUAACUCAAGAACGCUUAGGCCUAGGAUCAUGAAACUUCAUAGGUACAUUGAUCAUGACUCGCAGAUGACCCCUAUUGAUUUUGAGGUCACUAGGUCAAAGGUCAAGGUCACUGUGACCCGAAAUAGUAAAAUGGUUUCCGGAUGAUAAUUCAAGAACGCUUAUGCCUAGGAUCAUGAAACUUGAUAGGUAGAUUGAUCAUGACUCGCAGAUGACCCCUAUUGAUUUUCAGGUCACUAGGUCAAAGGUCAAGGUCACAGUGACCCGAAAUAUUAAAAUGGUUUCCGGAUGAUAACUCAAGAACGCUUAUGCCUAGGAUCAUGAAACUUGAUAGGUAGUUUGAUCAUGACUGGCAGAUGACCCCUAUUGAUUUUCAGGUCACUAGGUCAAAGGUCAAGGUCACGGUGACCCGAAAUAGUAAAAUGGUUUCCGGAUGAUAACUCAAGAACGCUUAUGCCUAGGAUCAUGAAACUUCAUAGGUACAUUGAUCAUGACUGGCAGAUGACCCCUAUUGAUUUUCAGGUCACUAGGUCAAAGGUCAAGGUCACAGUGACAAAACAACAUAUUUACAAAAUGGCUGUCACUACAACUGAGAGCCCAUAUGGGGGGCAUGCAUGUUUUACAAACAGCCCUUGUUUU